AGCAGCCGCGGUAAUUCCAGCUCCAAUAGCGUAUAUUAAAGUUGUUGCAGUUAAAAAGCUCGUAGUUGAAUUUCGAGACCGGCUUACUGGUCGUGCUUUUGUACGUACUGGUAUAAUCGGUUUCUCCUUUCUGACGAACUAUAAUGCCAUUAAUUUGGUGUUAUGGGGAAUCAGGACUGUUACUUUGAAAAAAUUAGAGUGUUUAAAGCAGGCUCACGCUUGAAUACAUUAGCAUGGAAUAACGGAAUAGGACGUUUGAUUCUAUUUUGUUGGUUUCUAGGAUCGACGUAAUGAUUAAUAGGGAUAGUUGGGGGCAUUAGUAUUCAAUUGUCAGAGGUGAAAUUCUUGGAUUUAUUGAAGACUAACUACUGCGAAAGCAUUUGCCAAGGAUGUUUUCAUUAAUCAAGAACGAAAGUUAGGGGAUCGAAGACGAUCAGAUACCGUCGUAGUCUUAACCAUAAACUAUGCCGACUAGGGAUCGGAUGAUGUUAAUUUUUAAUGACUCAUUCGGCGCCUUACG
rnacentral:rRNA from 1 species